AACCUCUGCAAUAGGCGAAAGCUUGACAGGGUUACUCUGAGUGAUUUCCGUUAAGGAGAUCUUUUGGCACCUUGGUGCAGAAUAAGGGGUGGCAAGCUGGUGUCAGCCGCCGCGGUAAUACCAGCACCCCGAGUGGUCGGGACGAUUAUUGGGCCUAAAGCAUCCGUAGCCGGUUCUACAAGUCUUCCGUUAAAUCCACCUGCUCAACAGUUGGGCUGCGGAGGAUACUAUAGAGCUAGGAGGCGGGGGAGGCAAGCGGUACUUAGUGGGUAGGGGUAAAAUCCGUUGAUCCAUUGAAGACCACAGUGGCGAGGCGGCUUGCCAGAACGCCUCGACGGUGAGGGGGAU
rnacentral:rRNA from 1 species